AAUCCAUAGUGUGGACAUUUGCGAGGCAAAUCUCUAAACAUUUCCCAUACUUCAUAUAAUGAUUCACCAUCUAAUUGACUAAAGUUAGUAAUAUCCAUUCUAAGUUU